rnacentral:rRNA from 1 species
UACGUAGGGGGCGAGCGUUGUCCGGAAUCACUGGGCUUAAAGCGCGUGUAGGCGGAUGACCGCGUCGGCCGCUGAAAGCCCCCGGCUCAACCGGGGAAGUGGGGCCGAAACGACCCGUCUGGAGGGACGUAGGGGGAUCUGGAACUUCCGGUGGAGCGGUGAAAUGCGUAGAUAUCAGGAGGAACACCGGUGGUGGUAGACGGCUUUCUGGACCGUAACUGACGCU